GGGGGCGACCUGGUUUCGACGUGGGUUACAAAGCAGCGCAGGGCAUACCGAGGACCAGUCACCUCGUAAAUCCAUCUGGAAACGCUCUAAACGCGAACGACGAACGUUUCGCACUCGCCGCCUAAACACCGGUGAGCCCUGCCCCGGUUCGCUCAUGGGCCGGCUAGCGCAAGCUAGAGCAGGGUCAUACACGUGAGAUCGCGUCUUGCAGGGUCACUUUGCUCGACGUCAAACAAUAGGUGACUCGCCGCUUGUCAGCCCGCCUGGUCGGCGGGCACGCGGCUAAAUCAAACGGCCAGGCUAAGUAUGUAGAUCUGUCUGUGGCGGAUUUGCGGACGCGGGUUCGAUUCCCGCCGCCUCCACCA
rnacentral:tmRNA from 1 species